AGGGACAUUUUCUUAGUUAUGCGUUUAUUGUUAUUUCCAGGAAGUCUUUUCAUCCUGCAGUGGGUAUCAAAGAAGCACAGUCGUUUCUCGCUAUUUAGGCCUAGAAAAAGAGGUAAUGAGAUUUUAAUGAACAGUGCUUAUUAGUGUUCUUUUCUUAAUCAGUCUGGGUUACACAUUCAGAGGACAGCAAUGUAGUAUAACUACAUUUGGUCUAUGGAAUAUUUGCUGAACUGCUAGCACCAAAGGGAGCAAACUGAGCUGUAUCCAUGUCUUCUCAAACUGCUGUUUGGAAAUGUUGAGAUAUAUAACAUUUUUUUUUUAUUAUUAUUCCAUGUUCAUGAAAGUGCCUGUAGAUGAGAGACAUAACACUAUUUCAAACACCUUCCUCCACAAAGACACUAUAUACACGUCCCAAGAAUUCACUCAGCUGGCAGCCCGGAUGAUUGCCAGCGUAGUCCUGGGUCAGUGCUCAUCGUCGGUUCUCUUCUUCUUUUAAAAAGGAACAAACACAUUGUUCUGUAAGAGAGAUUUUGACCUCUUCCAAAUCUUCCCCAAGAGAGGUUGCUCUGAUCUCCCCCAGAAGGAAACGCGAUAGCUCAUUUUCUGCAUCACAUGAAGCUCUUGUGCAACUCUGCUUUCUCCUAACCCACUCCAGAGACUGCAAGAAAAAUUAAAUGUGAACCACGUUAUAUUCUGCUACGUUGCCAUGCAGCUGGAGCUGUCAGCCUGCCAUGCUUCUAGGUCUGCGACCCGACUGCGAGGAAGUCAGAUGGGUCAGGGCGGAAUUCCCUCCGAGGGGACAAAUCCCGGCGAAAAAUCUUCAGGGCCCAUGGCUGAUGGGGAAUCACAUGCCAGCUGUUUAAUUAAAAUUACAGCAAGUCAAAUAGCUGAUACUUUUCCCCUCUCCUGGUAAGGGGGAUGAGACAUUGUUCACCAGGGUGUUCUGCCGUGCCUCGCUGAUCAGCCGGCAGGCUAAGUCCAGGAAGAGUUUUUCCACAUUAUCCGAUUCCUUUGCCGAGGUUUCCAGAUAGUACAUGUCCUGCGCCUCCGAGAACUCCGCCGCUCUCUGCUGGGACACUUCCCUCUUAUCAGCUAAAUCAAUCUUAUUACCCACUAGCACAGUGAUGACCUUGUUGCUGGCGUACUGCUCGAUUUCCCGCAGCCACUCGGGGAGGCAGCGGAAGGACUCCUCGCAGGUGAUGUCGUAGGUCAGUAUCAAGGCGUUGGCGCUGCGGUAGUAGCUCUGUGUUAUGGAGCGGAAUCGCUCUUGUCCUGCCGUGUCCCAGAUCUGCAGCUUUACUUUUUCACCAUUUAUCUCCACAGUUUUAAU
rnacentral:lncRNA from 1 species